rnacentral:rRNA from 1 species
UACGGAGGGAGCUAGCGUUGUUCGGAAUUACUGGGCGUAAAGCGCGCGUAGGCGGCUUUGUAAGUUAGAGGUGAAAGCCCGGGGCUCAACCCCGGAAUUGCCUUUAAGACUGCAUCGCUUGAAUCCGGGAGAGGUGAGUGGAAUUCCGAGUGUAGAGGUGAAAUUCGUAGAUAUUCGGAAGAACACCAGUGGCGAAAGGCGCUCACUGGACCGGCAUUGACGCUGAGGU